rnacentral:rRNA from 1 species
AACGAACGCUGGCGGCGUGCCUAAUACAUGCAAGUCGAACGCAGUGGGGACGGGUGAGUAACACGUGGGUAACCUCCCAUCAGAGGGGAUAACACUUGGAAACAGGUGCUAACCCGCUACUGAUGGAUGUACCCGGUGUGCAUUAGCUAGUUGGUGAGGUAACGGCUCACCAAGGCCACGAUGCAUACCCGGCCUGAGAGGAUGAUCGGCCACACUGGAACUGAGACACGGCCCAGACUCCUACGGGAGGCAGCAGUAGGGAAUAUUCGGCAAUGGGCGAAAGUCUGACCGAGCAACGCCGCGUGAGUGAAGAAGGCUUUCGGAUUGUAAAACUCUGUUGUUAGAGAAGCGGUAUCUAACGAGGAAGCCACGGCUAACUACGUGCCAGCAGCCGCGGUAAUUC